GCCAGUACUUCUAUUCCUACUCCUAGUCACACUUUUGGUCCUAGAGUGCGAAAAUCCAAGAUAGACAAUUUUUUUGUACCACGCACUACUCCUGGCGCACAACCCUCGCUUGAGAGCAUGUCUUGGAACAAGGAGGUCCAUGAUGCAGGAAGAAAAGCAAUUUGCAAGUUUUGGUACUUCUGCAACAUUCCAUUUAUUGCAGCCAGGUCUCCUUAUUGGCAAGGCAUGAUUGAUGCAGUAACCAUUUGUGGGCCGGGGUUUAAAGCCCCUAGUGAUACUGAGUUGAGUGGCCCUCUCUUGUUGGAAAUGGUGGAAGAUAUGAAAGUUGACCUAGAGGACCACCGCCAAUCUUGGAGCUAGAAGAGUUGCACCAUCAUGACAGAUGGUUGGACUGAUAGGAGGAAUAGAACACUCCUAAAUUUUCUUGUUUCCAGCGGAGGAUCCACCAUGUUUUUGAAGUCCAUCGAUGCUUCCUCACAUGUCAAAAAUGCGACAUACUUAUGUGAGGCCAUUGAGGAAGUUAUAGAUGAGGUGGGGGAAGAAAAUGUGGUGCAAGUGGUGACGGAUAAUGCAGCAAGU